rnacentral:lncRNA from 1 species
AUAAAUAUUGAGAAAUGCUAUAAGCAACCAAUUUCUGUUUCGUUCAGGAGUGAAUAUUACGUGAAGAAUCGCAUUUGUCAUAAUUUGAUGCCUUCCAUUACUUGAAAGAGGGGCAUGUCAAAGUGGCAAAUGAAUAGUCACAAGGAAUGUGAGUGGAAAAUAUAAGCCUUGUCCACUAGCCAAGCCUUGUCCUGGAAUACUAACAUAUGGUACCUAUGGAAAACAACAUUUAUUCUCCUCAUGCCUUAUCUCUUUAGCCACACGUAACAUUUAUUCACCUACACAAUAAUCUCUGAAGUGACCCAUGGCCGCCCCUCUGAUAGUGAAGUUAGUACGAGAAGAGUGUUUCGUUCAUGAAGAAGAAAGAAAGAGAUGAUUGUUGUGUAUGAGAUAAUAUCUGAUUCAUUUUUAUAUAUAUGACACCCUUAACUACUGUGAGCUAGUGGCGUGAUCCUUACAAGAGUUCCUCAAUUCUUUUAGAGUAUUAGUAAAUCUUUCCAUAUAAGUAUGUGUGUCAAGACUUGUUUGGAGUUAGGGUUGAUACAUCGAAUACUCACAUUAUAAAUUUUGGUAGUUUGUAGGUGAUAUUGCAAAAGUGAUGAUGGAAGUAAAAUUUCCCCUUAAUUUUUUCUUUCCCUCUUACCACCACUAACUAGGCUAGUAUAUUCCCCUCAACUUCUUUAUUUUUGAACGUGAUCUAGAUAUAAGAUUGAUGCUGAUCUUUUCUCUUCCAAAUAUGUAUUUUCUUAGUGCGUAUAAAACAAAAGCAACUUGUCCCCCGUAACACCAGAAGAAUCGAGCAAUAUAUGCGAAUUGAAGUAGGCAACAUCUGCAGAAGUUGAAUCAAACCGAUAUAUAGAUAUAUUGUUCAUAGUCAUCCAUUCUUGAUUUAUAAUUAGAACAUCGCGAAAUUACAAGCUUCUUUUAAGUCUUGUCAUUUGCCAUUAACAAUAUUCAACCUUGAAGCUA